rnacentral:tRNA from 1 species
CCUCAAUUAGUUUACCGGCUAAACGUUCAAUUGCUACUUGACUUAAAUCGGUUCGAUUCCGACGCAUCCAG